AACGAACGCUGGCGGCAGGCCUAACACAUGCAAGUCGAGCGAGGACUUCGGUCCUAGCGGCGGACGGGUGAGUAACGCGUGGGAACGUGCCCUUUGCUUCGGAAUAGCCCUGGGCAACUGGGAGUAAUACCGGAUGAGCCCUUUGGGGGAAAGAUUUCUCGGCGAAGGAUCGGCCCGCGUUGGAUUAGGUAGUUGGUGGGGUAAUGGCCUACCAAGCCGACGAUCCAUAGCUGGUUUGAGAGGAUGCUCAGCCACACUGGGACUGAGACACGGCCCAGACUCCUACGGGAGGCAGCAGUGGGGAAUCUUAGACAAUGGGGGAAACCCUGAUCUAGCCAUGCCGCGUGAGCGAUGAAGGCCUUAGGGUUGUAAAGCUCUUUCAGCUGGGAAGAUAAUGACGGUACCAGCAGAAGAAGCCCCGGCUAACUCCGUG
rnacentral:rRNA from 1 species